rnacentral:rRNA from 1 species
AACUAACCAGGAUUCCCCUAGUAAUGGCGAACGAACAGGGAACAGCUCAAAUUUUAAAUCUCGGGCGCCUGCGUCCGCGAAUUGUAGUUUCCAGAAACGUUAUCCCCAGGAGGACCACCGGUCUAAGUUGCUUGGAACAGCAUAUCGGAGAGGGUGAGAAUCCCGUUUUCGGCCGGAGGUUCCCUGGCACGAGGCGUUUUCCAAGAGUCGGGUUGUUUGGGAUUGCAGCCCAAAAGGCGUGGUAUACCCCACGUAAAGCUAAAUAUUGGCACGAGACCGAUAGCGAACAAGUACCAUGAGGGAAAGAUGAAAAGCACUUUGAAAAGAGAGUUAAACAGCACGUGAAACCGUUAAAAGGGAAACGAAUGGAGCCAGCAAGGCACCCAGUUUCAUUCAGCCGGUGGCCUACCACCAAGGCAUGGGCCGACCUUCGGGCGGUGCUUGUUUUGCGAUGAUAGGUUGCCGUGUGCACUUAUGCUGGGUGCGUGCCAACUUGGGCUGGUGACGGUCGACACGGUCGGAAGGGAAGGUAGCUUUCUCCGGGGAGUGUUAUAGYCCUCCGUCCCGGGCCGUCGCUGGCUGAGGGGUCGCGGUACGUGCUCUCUUGGGCUUGGGCCCUGUAGCAGGUCGACUGCGCCUUCCGUUGACUGCACGCAGUGAGCGGAGGGACGACGGUAGGCUAGCCGUGGGUGUCCCGUAAACGUACCUAGGAAGUUG